CGGGUGAGUAACGCGGUGGUAACUGCCUCAUACAGGGGGAUAACAGUUAGAAAUGACUGCUAAUACCGCAUAAGCGCACAGGGUCGCAUGACCUGGUGUGAAAAACUCCGGUGGUAUGAGAUGGACCCGCGUCUGAUUAGCUAGUUGGCGAGGUAACGGCCCACCAAGGCGACGAUCAGUAGCCGACCUGAGAGGGUGAUCGGCCACAUUGGGACUGAGACACGGCCCAA
rnacentral:rRNA from 1 species